rnacentral:rRNA from 1 species
GAAGGCCUUCGGGUUGUAAACCCCUUUCAGCAGGGACGAAGCUGAAGUGACGGUACCUGCAAAAGACGCGCCAGCUAACUACGUGCCACCAGCCGCGGUAACACGUAGGGCGCAAGCGUUGUCCGGAAUUAUUGGGCGUAAAGAGCUCGUAGGUGGUCUGUUGCGUCCGCUGUGAAAACUCAGGGCUUAACCCUGACCCUGCAGUGGAUACGGGCAGACUAGAGGUAGGUAGGGGAGAAUGGAAUUCCUGGUGUAGCGGUGAAAUGCGCAGAUAUCNGGAGGAACACCGGUGGCGAAGGCGGUUCUCUGGGCCUUACCUGACACUGAGGAACGAAAGCGUGGGGAGCGAACUAGAUUACAUACCCUGGUAGUCCACGCCGUAAACGUUGGGCGCUAGGUGUGGGAUCCUUCCACGGAUUCCGUGCCGCAACUAACGCAUUAACCGCCCCGCCUGGGGAGUACCGCCGCAAAGCU